rnacentral:tRNA from 2 species
UUGGGGUGUAGCCAAGUGGUAAGGCAACGGACUUUGACUCCGCUAUUCGCAGGUUCGAAUCCUCCCACCCCAGA